UUUUUGACGGUCCAUAGGAUGUGGAGUCUCGAAGCAUCCGAGAUCUACUGCCAUAGUCCUUCAAGAUAUCUCGCGACCAUUUGUUCUUUGUUCUCCGCCAGAUCGUUCCAUGCGACCAAUUGGUAAAAUUCUUCCGUGUAAUCAUCUAUGGAUCUAGGCCCUUGACGGAGGUUCUACAGGCAUCGGUAUAAGAACUGCGUGUAGUUGAAGGGCAAAAAUUGCUCCCUCAACGUCUUUUUCAUGUUCUC
rnacentral:lncRNA from 1 species